UCAAGUUUUCAGCAAAGAUUAUAACUAACCACAUUCGCAAUCUUUUCCUCCUAAUAAUAAAGCACGGAUUGAUUCCGUGGGUUCACCGUCAUAAUACGAUUCUUCCCGGUAAUUUACACUUUCAGUUCAAAUUUAAAACAUAUACGUGAGGUGGUACUAAAUUUCGUCCGUCCAGUUUUGUUUUCACAGCUUCAUAUCACAUGGGCCAGAAAAUUUGCUAUGGGCCACGGGCCGCCGCCAACGCGCGCUGGCUGCUCUGGCUGGUGGCGGGUUCAGCCUCGGCAUGGACCUAAACGCUUCGUUUUUACAAAAAAAAAAAAAAAACCUAUGUUUGUUUGAAAUAUAGUCAGCAGUCCUCUAAUUCAUCUUAUCCAAACUCCUUCCUUUCCAGCGACGGCGGAGCACGGGCAGGUGACGGGCGGCGCCCUUGUCGUCGGACGGCUACAACAGCGGUGGAGGAGAAGGCAGACGCCGUGGGUGCGUGCUUGGGUAAGGGAGGCCACCCUUGCUGUGCUCGUGGGCGUUCAUGGAGGAUGGAAGGGGGGACAGCUUCUUGUGGGUGCGCCGGCUGUGCUCGUGGGCGUUCAUGGAGGAUGGAAGGAAAUUGGAGGCCGGCCCUGUCCUUCUCCAACACAAAUUGAUGGAGCGCCCGACCCGGAUUUGAUUGGCUGCUAUUUGUAAGGGUCCUCGGCCGGAAUCUCCGUCAGGUCGUGCCCUGGGACCAUAAUCUCCAUCAUCCCGUCGAAAUUGCAAUUUUUGACCAAACGUCCAAUGUCACCGCCGAGUUCGCCGGAGGAAAAAGCGCCGAGUUCGCUGGAGGAACAAGAACAUCCGUCGAGCCGUGCAAUGUCUCCUAUGGCGGCUACACGAGAGGUAUGUAUCCCCUUGAAAGCUAAUCACUCGAUGGUAUCCCCUGUUUUAGUCAUUGUUUCUGUCCCAUUGCUCUGACUGCGAUUAUGCUUUUUUUCAGUUAACAAUUAGCUCUGCAGAAUAGAUAUGCUAGCUACACCUAGCAAACCAGGAUUAGGAGGUGUAUUCAAGUGCAACAUAUGCGUUGAUCAGCAAAGAAACAUGUGUGUUUCUUAGCGUGUACUAAACAACUUUUCUCUCUGUAGUUUCUGGGGUUGUCCAACAUGUGUUUCUCAUAUUAAUGCCUUCAACACCCCUCUUUCCACAUGCAUGCAUGUAGUAGCAGAUUGCCUGAUCUGUUGGCCUAAAUAUUCUCUUUGCGGUGCUCUUAUUAUUAGUUCAGACUUGCAGACCCAUGUUUUUUGCUCAAAUCAAUCUGUCAAAACUCCAUUACAGUUGCACAAGACCUGAUAUGCAAAUGUUUGCGUGGAGCUAACUUCUCUGGGCAUGCGGCCAGUGUGUAUGUGCAUAUUUUUCAGUAGAAUUAAGUGCCUGGUGCCACUUGAAAGAAUAAAAUAAUGAUCAGCUAUUUUUUGUUACAGUUACGAUUUAGUCAACAUUGAUGCCCGUCUGCAAAAAGCUUAUUUUGAUCUGGAGUUGCAAAGAUUUUUUACAAGCACUUAUAGAAUGGGAUGCGCCACCGCCGCCGCCAGCACGGUCCCAACAGCUGACGCGAGUCUCCACGAUCGACAUCGCCGUCCGUCUGUGCCCCGAGCUCGACGGUUCUCCGGCCGACAAGCGUUCGUUCGUGUUGCCGCCAGUGUUAGGCGUUGCUCGCCACCACCCCAGAUCGCUGUCGUGCGUCAUCGCCGCCCCAAGCUCCAUGAGCUACUUGAAGAGGGAGUGCUUGGCCUGCUUCAUGUAUUGUCUCAAAACAACUUGCCAUGCCAUAUUUCUGUGCUUCAUGUAUUGUCUGAAUACUUGAGAGUUUCAAGGAUCCCAAAUGUUCCAAAGGAUGAGCAAAGUCAUGAAACGCUUCGAAUUGAUGAUUUCCUGCCAGUUUGGAGUAUGCCAGUACCACACCAAAUAACUUUUGCUGUAGGACACUGAAUGAAUAGACGAGAGCAAGUUUCUGUGGCUUGGAGACACAUGGGGCAGAUGUCUGAAUCAAGUAUGGUCUUGUGUAAAUUUCGAAAUGUGUUCAUUCUUCCGUUAUGCAGUAGCCAUCCAAAAAGAAUACAUUGUUGGGCACCCUUGAGGACAAAACCAGAGAGAGACUGGGAUCAUCAAUUCCUUGGUAUGUCUAUCCCCAACCAAACUAUGGAUCAUCCAACCUUCGGUCAGGUUCACUAUCUUCAAUCUUAGUGCUGCAUAUUCCUAUUUGAAUGAUACUUGGUGCAUAAAAUUAGUGAUUCAGAAAAAUCAUUUUUUCUUUGUUACGAACAAAUAUGCAACUCUCCUAGAUAGAAGAUUACCACUAAAAGAGAACAACUAUUAGUCUUGGUAGGUGAAGUCAGAUUGUGUACUGACAUUGUUGUAAUCUCUGUAUCCUAUUUCUUGCCAAUGUUUGUGUUAUUUUGCUUACACAGAAUGGCCAUGUUUAUCUUAAAUUUCCUUUGUCAAUUGCCUUUAAACUAACAAAUCAGGGUAAUAAAUAGAAUGUGUUUGUUCCAUUACACAAAACUGUACCAUUAUCUACUAUUGAAUAGUUGGAUCAUAAACUUUUCAUAAUUUUUGUUGUAGAAGAGCAAUGUUCUACCUACUUAUAACUAUAUGUUAUUCUUGAGUUGUUAUUUGUAGAGUUAACUACCCAUAUGUUUUAUAACUAUACAUUAUUUGCUUAUACUUGCCAGUAGUGUAGCUUUCUGCUGGACCAUAUAUCCUGCCAGGAGAAGUUUCAGUGACCAAUGGAAGCUUUGAUGUAUUCUUUUCAAGCAAAAGUAAUCGUCUAUUACCCAUGUCAGGUUUCGACUCAAAUUGUAGUGCUUCUGUUCUAUGCAAUUUUAUUUUCUUACUGAUGCUAUGUUCUGGCAUUCCUUA